rnacentral:rRNA from 1 species
GUCUACAGCCAUACCACCCUGAACACACCUGAUCUCAUCUGAUCUCAGAAGUUAAGCAGGGUCAGGCCAUCAGGCCUGAUUAUUCCUUAGACAGAAGACA